CAAAAUUUUCAGAAUUGAUAUAUCAACUUUGCAAGUGGUUUUCAUAUAGCAAAUGACCUUCAUACGACACGUGCCAUACACCGUUUCAAAGCUCAUGACGUUUUUUAAGUAUCUCUAAAAGGCAUCAUGUAAAAAUUAUGCUCUUAAGGACCCAAUGGAAGACAUCUUCAUAAAGACAGAUCAUUCAUUAUUGCAGCAAGAAUUGGAUGAUCUUCCUUGAUCUAAUUACAUGAUAAAAACCUACAAAAAUUCAUGCAUAUAGAUUGAAAUGUCCAAAUCAUUUCCAGCAUCGAAGUCCAAUUUGGCUCAUAAAAAUCUAUAUGAAAAUAGGAAAACAGAACAAAACUUCCAACAUCACAGAUUGCAGCAACCAAGCAUAAUUUCAUGCAAGCAAAUGACCUAGUUAACGACAACCGUUUGACAUGAUCUAUAUCUGCACUAUGACUUUCCUGGAGGAUGUAAAUUCAACGGAGUAUGUUUACUAGUUCAUUUAUAGACAAAUACACAUCGGGUUCAAACAGGACAAAACAAUCUAAGGACAAUUUAUUAGAGAUUUCCUUGACUAAAUCUACUCCAAAAAAUCUGGAAAAAUAUAUGUCGUGACCAGAGCAAUUUCGACCAACUUUCAUGAAAUAAUUUUAACCAUAAAAUCAGAGCACAAAAACCAGCAAAAAAUCAACAAACAAUGCAGACCGCGAAUCAACAAAACAACAUAACAUUUGGUAGAUUUUGGACUCAACUUUGAGUAUAUGAAAACUAUAUCAAAGGAGCCCUGUUUAGGGUGUUCUAUGGCUUGUGAGAAAGAUAUUUGAAUUGCUUCCGACUUUCAUGAAGGCAUCGAACACAGAAAAGCAUGUUUGCAAGCUGAUAUUGAGUGGUUUCUCAAAUUAGUCAUCUAAACAUCCGAAAAUUGCAGAAUCAACUCAUCCAAUCAAUCACGCAUACCUAAGCUAAUCAAGCUCAUCUUAAGCUAUUCUAAGGCCAUUCUAACAUCUUAAACAUGUUGAAAUUGUAGAACUCAAACCCUAGGGUGAGCUCUAGCCUUGGUUGUCUAGAACAACCCUGCUUCAUGAAGCUCCGAAUUGAGAAGUUACCUUUGAUACGAUUUCAGCGAUUUGAGCUCAAUCGGACAACAAUCAAGCCUUCAUAGUAACUUGAGGAUGUAAAGGGAGCUUCGUAGGACCUGAGGACCGCCAGAGGAGGGUCGAACGACGUCGGAUCACUGCCAAUCAGCAACUGAUGGGCGAUCCGCUAGGUUGAGGAUCGUUGGUAAAGAAUCAACCAUUGGAGCUCGUCCGGUGGAUAUUCGGCUAAGUCCCGACAACCACAAGGUCGGGGAUUCACUAAUGGACGUCGUUGGGAUGAUCAGAAGGGCUCGAGAGGUCGGCAGAUCGUCAAUCAAGGUUAGAGGAACUAGCGAACUACCUUAUCGGGUCGAUCGCUGGUUUGCUUGACUCGCAGGAAAGAGAACGCCAAAUGGCUAGAUUGGGGACUCGCCAGAGGUUGGGCUAACCACCAGGAGCUUGGGCGAGAUGACAACGUCGCCGAGAGGCUGGGUGGAGACCAUGAAACUACCGACGUAAGGCCGGCAGGUGCCAAAUGGCGAACUGGCAAUAGGCCGAUUUAAGAGAGAGAAUGGGCGUGAAGCAGGAGAGAGAGAGUUUUUAUUAGAGAACUUAUUGGAUUUUCAAAUUUGGAAUUUCAUCAAAUGAGG
rnacentral:lncRNA from 1 species